GCUGGUCUGGUUUUGAGGUCGUGAUACCAAGGCAACACCAGCUAGCACUCCUCUCCACAUAUUUACAGCAACCAUUUCAGCUACUCAUACCAUUCCUGUCUAAGGAUGGCCCUUCAGAAUACCUGACAUGCUCCAAAAGUGUGUGAAGCAGUGUGAAACUAACUGCCCUUGCACCUCUUUCCUGUGCUCUUCUUUUCACUGCCAAUUCCAACAUGCAAUCAUCUGAAUGGAAAAAGCAUCUUCACAGAGUGCUCUCCUCAGCUAAUCAGAUCCCUUCACACUUCCAUCUGUAACACAGAGACAAAAGAGGCAGGAAGGAGGUGUGCUGGGUUAGGAAUGAAGAUCAGGGUGUCAUCAGUUAAGCCUGGAGCAGAAGCCUGCUGCCAUAAAACAGGUCUUCAUUGAGCGAAGGAGUCACUUUCACAGCAUUCAGCAUCUGAUUAAGCAACUGUUUCUCAUCUGAGUCUGUUUCCACGGAUACAAACCUCUCAUCAGACAGCAGCUUCUGCAGAGAGAAAAUGG